GUGCUGUCUUUGGCAGCACAUAUACUAAAAUUGGAAUGAUACAGAGAUUAGCAUGGCCGCUGAACAAGGAUGACACAUAUAUUCAUGAGGCGUUCCAUAAUUUU
ensembl:snRNA U6 U6 spliceosomal RNA